rnacentral:rRNA from 1 species
UACGUAGGGGGCAAGCGUUGUCCGGAUUUACUGGGCGUAAAGCGCGUGUAGGCGGCCACGCAGGUCCGUUGUGAAAACUCGAGGCUCAACCUCUAGACGUCGACGGAAACCGUGUGGCUAGAGUCCGGAAGAGGAGAGUGGAAUUCCUGGUGUAGCGGUGAAAUGCGCAGAUAUCAGGAGGAACACCGAUGGCGAAGGCAGGUCGCUGGGCCACUACUGACGCUGAGAAGCGAAAGCAUGGGGAGCGAACAGG